UAGGGAAUCUUCCGCAAUGGGCGAAAGCCUGACGGAGCAACGCCGCGCGAGUGAUGAAGGUCUUCGGAUCGUAAAACUCUGUUAUUAGGGAAGAAUAAAUGUGUAAGUAACUAUGCACGUCUUGACGGUACCUAAUCAGAAAGCCACGGCUCACUACGUGCCAGCAGCCGCGGUAAUUCGUAGGUGGCAAGCGUUAUCCGGAAUUAUUGGGCGUAAAGCGCGCGUAGGCGGUUUAUUAAGUCUGAUGUGAAAGCCCACGGCUCAACCGUGGAGGGUCAUUGGAAACUGGAGAACUUGAGUGCAGAAGAGGAAAGUGGAAUUCCAUGUGUAGCGGUGAAAUGCGCAGAGAUGUGGGGGAACACCAGUGGCGAAGGCGACUUUCUGGUCUGUAACUGUCACUGAUGUGCGAAAGCGUGGGGAUCAAACAGG
rnacentral:rRNA from 1 species